UGGAGCCCUCUGCUUACAGAUAAUGAACUAUCCAAUGAUAAUGAACCAUCUACAUGGCACGUUCCAGGGAAAAUGGAAAGCAUCCAGAUAAGCUAGAGUGGUUGAAGAAAGGCAAAAUAAACUUCUACUCACCUAUCCUGCCACCCAGUGACUGGGACCAAGACAAUUUGCCUUAAUUCUACAGUUUGACUUGCAUGGGUGGACCUUGUGUUGAAGCCAUUUCUCACCUGAUAGAUUUUUAUUUAAACCAUGAGAUUGCAGGAAGGAAAACUGGAGCUCCCUGCUGAGCAGACAGUGGCAUCUUGUCACCACGGCCUUGACCUUUGGCUCCUCUUGCAGCACAGUCAUGACUGUGAAAGAAAAGACUAUUCUGACACUUGUUACAAUGGUAAGGAAGAUCUAGUCAAGAUCUAGACCAGGGGUGGGCAAACUUUUUGACUCGAGGGCCACAAUGGGUUCUUAAACUGGACCGGAGGGCCGGAUCAAAAGCAUGGA